GAUGAACGCUGGCGGCGUGCCUAAUACAUGCAAGUCGAGCGAACAGAUAAGGUAGCUUGCUCCUUUGACGUUAGCGGCGGACGGGUGAGUAACACGUGGGUAACCUACCUAUAAGACUGGGAUAACUUCGGGAAACCGGAGCUAAUACCGGAUAACAUUUGGAACCGCAUGGUUCUAAAGUGAAAGAUGGUUUUGCUAUCACUUAUAGAUGGACCCGCGCCGUAUUAGCUAGUUGGUAAGGUACGGCUUACCAAGGUCGACGAUACGUAGCCGACCUGAGAGGGUGAUCGGCCACACUGGAACUGAGACACGGUCCAGACUCCUACGGGAGAGCAGUAGGAAUC
rnacentral:rRNA from 1 species